UUAAACUACAGUAUUUGGACGAAUUUGGUCUUAGUUCUCACCCUUAGCUAAGGCGGUACCAAACACAUGGUACUACACGGAUCCCAGUGAGUAAUGUAGCUUGCUUUAGCUCCUACGUUUAAUACCCCGCCAACUAAAGCUCUACGAAGCAUUAUCAGCGGAUAUCAUGCUUAAUUUUAUUCACUUUACGCCAGUGUUGAAGAUUAAUACAUAAACUAAUGUUUGAAUUAGUAAUUAGCCCCUUAAGCCUGGUAAAGCUUGUGCCAGCCACCGCGGUUAAACAAGCGAGCUAAGUUAAGGAAACACAGUAAAAAGGAGGUUAGAUAGAUCAAGCGCACUAUAAGAACCUAUUUUUUUCCAAAAGGUAAAAUUUUAAUUAAAAUGCUUCAGUCCUUUGUUCUUACGCUAAUCGACGCCUCGAAAGCUUAAACCAAAACCGGGAUUAGAUACCCCGUUAUUUAAGAUACAAAACUUAAUACAACCAACGUAUUUACUAGAGUACUACGAGCAUCUGCUAUAAGGCUUACAUAGCAAUCUAUCAACUUAAAACUUAAAAGACUUGGCGGUGCCUUAAUUCCACCCAGGGGAACCUGUCCUGUAAUCGAUAAUCCACGUUUAACCUUACCUUUUCUUGCGCAUUUACGCCCAGCCUGUAUACCGUCGUCACCAGAUCACCUUUAGAGAGUGUAGAAGUUAUCGAGAAGAAUUUACUACAAUUUUGCUUCACUUAAUAAUUUAAAUUCUCCAUGUCAGAUCAAGGUGCAGCUAAUGGAAAGGUAGUGAUGGGUUACAAUAGCUACUUGCUAUUACGAAUUUUUAUUUGCAACAAUUUAAUCAAGGAGGACUUGGUAGUAAUAAGAUUUUAUUAUUAAUAGAUAGAUUUUAUGAAACAGGCUCUAAGGCGUGCACAUAUCGCCCGUCACUCUCGUUGAAAAAUGAGAUAAGUCGUAACACAGUAAGGGUACCGGAAGGUGCCUUUGAAUAAAC
rnacentral:rRNA from 1 species